rnacentral:rRNA from 1 species
UGAGAGUCCUGAAGGAACGUUGAAGAAGACGACGUUGAUAGGCCGGGUGUGUAAGCGCAGCGAUGCGUUGAGCUAACCGGUACUAAUGAACCGUGAGGCUUAACCUUACAACGCCGAAGGUGUUU